UGGCGGACGGGUGAGUAACGCGUGGGCAACCUGCCCCAUACAGGGGGAUAACAGUUAGAAAUGACUGCUAACACCGCAUAAGCGCACAGGGCCGCAUGGCCCGGUGUGAAAAACUCCGGUGGUAUGGGAUGGGCCCGCGUCUGAUUAGCCAGUUGGCGGGGUAACGGCCCACCAAAGCGACGAUCAGUAGCCAACCUGAGAGGGUGACCGGCCACAUUGGGACUGAGACACGGCCCAAACUCCUACGGGAGGCAGCAG
rnacentral:rRNA from 1 species